CCUGGUUGAUCCCGCCAGUAGUCAUAUGCGUGUCUUAAAGAUUGAGCCAUGCAUGUCUAAGUAUACGCUUUUAUACGGCUAAACUGCAAAUGGCUCAUUAAAACAGUUAUCGUUUAUUUGAUUGUCUUUACUACAAGGAUAACCGUGAUAAUUAUAUGGCUAAUACAUGCGCGCAUGCAACUUCCUCUGGAAGGGCAGUGUCGAUUAGAUACAGAACCAACCGCCUUCCGGUGGUCCUCAGGUGAUUCAUAGUAAGCGAACGGGUCGUGUCAUGACUUCCGUCGUCGAGGGCUCAUACAAGUUUCCGACCUACCAGCUUCCGACGGUACUGUAAUGGACCACUGUACCAGUAACUGGUUAAAGGGAAUUAGGGUUCGAUCCCAGAGAGGGAGCCUGAGAAACGGCUACCUCAUACAAGGAAGGCCUCGGGCGCGCAAGCUACCCAAUCCUAACUAAGGCAGGCGAUGACAAGGAAUAACAACUUUGGAAAUUUCAUUUCUAGCGAUUGGAAUGAUGGGAAUCCAAACCCCUUUCAGAGUAACAAUUGGAGGGCAAGUCUGGUGCCAGCAGCCGCGGUAAUUCCAGCUACAAUAACGUAUCUUAAAGUUGUUGCAGUUAAAAAGCUCGCAGCUGGAGUUCUGCUGGAAGCAUCCAGUCCACCCUUAGGAGUGCGCAGUUGGAGAAAUAAGCAUCGUUUUAGCAGCGCUUCACACUCGAUUUUGCGUAGUGUUUUUCCAGGACUUCUAAUAUGAGGAGACUAUGGUGUUUCAAGCAAGCAUGUCCCCUUGAAUACUGCAGCGUGGAAUAAAAAGAUGGGCUGUGGCAUUAUUUUGUUGGGUUUUGGGGUUCAGGUUAUCAUUAACAGGGGCGGCUGGGGGCAUUCGUAUUUAACUUUCAGAAGAGAAAUGCUUAGAUUUGUUAACGAUGAACUACGGCGAAAGCAUUCGCCAGAGAUGUUUUCAGGAAUCAAGAACGAAACUUAGGGGCUCGAAGACGGGCAGAUACCUCGUAGUCUUGACCAUAAGCUAUGCCGACUAGAGCUAGGAAAACGUCACACUUGACUUCUGCACCUUUUGAGAAAACGCGUCUUUGGGUUCUCGCGAGAGUAUGUUCGCAAGGCUGAAACUUGAAGGAGCUGCCGGACAGGCACCACCAGGCGUGGAGCGUGUGGCUUAAUUUGACACGACAUUGGCGGAAACUCACCAGGUCCAGACAUAGGAAGGAUCAACCGAUUGAUAGCUCUUCGUUGAUUCUACACGUGGUGGUGCAUAGCCGCUCUUAGUUGGUGAAGUAUUUUAUCUGGUUGACUCCGUUAACGAACGAGACUUAACUGGCUAAAAUGGAUCAGGAACUUCGUGUUCUUGUACCACUUCUUAAAGGGUCUUUUUGAGCCUAACGCAUGGGCGUUUGACGCAGUAACAGGAAUGUGAUGCCCUUUGAUGUUCUGGGGUGCACGCGCGCUACACUGAUGCAUCUAACGUGUUUAUAACCUUGGCCGAUAGGUCUAGGUAAUCUUGUGAGUAUGCAUCUUGAUGGGGAUAGAUUAUUGCAAUUAUUAAUCUUCAACGAGGAAUGCCUAGUAGGCGCAAGUCAGCAGCUUGCGCGAUUGCGUCCCUGCCUGUUGUACACACCGGCCGUCGCGCCUACCGAAUUUGUGUUCCGGUGGAAUAUUCUGACUGGAUUGUGAUGCGUCUGCGCCCGAGAUGGGAACUUUUGGACCUUAAUAGUUAGAGAAGGAGAAGUCGUAACAAGGUUUCCUUAUGUGAACAUGCGGAAG
rnacentral:rRNA from 1 species